rnacentral:rRNA from 1 species
AUGCCAGAGUUGCGUAGUGGAGUCCGACAAUCCCGGUUGAAGUCGAGGAAGGCUGAGGAUCUCGACGUACAGGACCCAGCAGAGAACUUGGCAGUGGCAGCGCCUACGGUGGCAGGAAAGCGUGGCAGAGGAAGGGGUGGGAGAGGUGGAGGGCGAGGAAGGGGAAGGGCAGGAGGAAGAGGGAGAGGUGUUCCUGUGAUUGACUUGGAUCCAGACCAGCCUUUUGAGGUUCUUCCUGGAGCUGGUGUUGGUGGAGGUGCUGUGGGUGGUCCACAGCGCAUUGAGGAAUUUGCUGAUAAGGCUGUCAAGAUGGAUGGCGCGAGUCCUGACAAGAUCGGUGGUGGUGAAGAUGAUGCAUCUCCAGUCCCAGAGAAGGUUCAAGUAGGCCAUUCUCCACAAUACAAGGUAGAGAGGAAAUUGGGCAAGGGUGGUUUUGGGCAGGUUUAUGUUGGCAGAAGAGUUUCUGGUGGAACAGAGCGCACUGGACCAGAUGCUUAUGAGGUUGCUUUGAAAUUUGAGCACCGCAACAGUAAGGGGUGCAAUUAUGGCCCUCCAUAUGAGUGGCAGGUUUAUAGCUCUCUGAACGGAUGUUAUGGUAUACCGUGGGUUCACUACAAAGGCCGUCAAGGGGACUAUUAUGUGCUGGUAAUGGAUAUACUAGGCCCUAGCCUUUGGGAUGUUUGGAAUUCUCUAGGGCAAACGAUGACUCCAAGUAUGGUUGCUUGCAUCGCUGUAGAGGCUAUAUCUAUCCUUGAAAAACUUCAUGCAAAGGGGUUUGUUCAUGGAGACGUUAAGCCAGAGAAUUUUCUACUCGGACAACCUGGAUCACCUGAUGAGAAGAAGCUUUUUUUGAUUGACCUUGGGUUAGCAUCGAGAUGGAAGGAGACAUCAUCUGGACAACAUGUUGACUACGAUCAGAGGCCUGAUAUUUUUAGGGGCACAAUAAGAUAUGCUAGUGUGCAUGCUCAUUUGGGCCGUACUGGUAGCAGAAGGGAUGAUCUGGAAUCACUAGCAUAUACAUUGAUAUUUCUACUCAGAGGAAGAUUACCUUGGCAAGGCUAUCAGGGGGAGAACAAGAGCUUUCUUGUUUGCAAGAAGAAAAUGUCUAUCUCUCCAGAUCUGAUGUGCUGUUACUGCGCACCUCCUUUUAAACUUUUUCUGGAAACCGUGACAAACAUGAAAUUUGAUGAAGAACCAAACUACCCAAAGCUGAUUUCCCUCUUUGAUGAAUUGAUUGAGCCCCAGCAUUUGAGGCCUAUUAGAAUCGAUGGUGCUCUAAAGGCUGGACAAAAACGAGGAAGAGGAAGUCAUGAUGAAGAUGAACAACCGAGGAAGAAAGUUCGACUGGGAAGCCCAGCAAAUCAGUGGAUUUCAGUAUAUAAUGCUAAGAGGCCCAUGAAACAGAGAUACCAUUACAAUGUAGCAGAAGCCCGACUUCAUCAACACAUAGAGAAAGGGAAUGAAGAUGGAUUGUUUAUUAGUUCGGUAGCAUCUGCAGCAAAUCUUUGGGCCCUUAUUAUGGACGCUGGAACUGGGUUCACAUCCCAAGUUUACGAACUUUCACCAAUAUUCCUUCAUAAGGACUGGAUUAUGGAGCAGUGGGAAAAUAACUACUACAUCAGUGCCAUAGCAGGAGCAACAAAUGGAAGUUCCUUGGUGGUCAUGUCAAAAGGAACCCCUUACACUCAACAGUCUUACAAAGUCAGUGAAUCAUUCCCCUUCAAGUGGAUCAACAAGAAAUGGAAAGAAGGAUUUCAUGUUACAUCAAUGACUACAGCAGGGACCCGCUGGGGUGUAGUAAUGUCAAGGAACUCUGGAUAUUCUGAACAGGUGGUAGAAUUGGAUUUUCUUUAUCCUAGUGAAGGUAUUCACCGGCGAUGGGAGAAUGGAUAUAGAAUAACUUCUACAGCAGCCACUGGUGAUCAAGCUGCUUUUAUAUUGAGCAUUCCCAAAAGAAAAUUGUCGGACGAGACACAAGAAACUCUUAGAACAUCCACUUUCCCAAGCAACCAUGUGAAGUCAUACGGUUAUCCUUUUAUAGGAGAAAUGGGCCAAGAAUCUUUACAUUGCCUCUAUAUGCUAUGGACGGACAGUGUCGUGAGACUUGCAGUCACACCAACUCAGUCAGGGCUGAGCAUAUUAAAAUGA